rnacentral:piRNA from 1 species
GUUCGGUGCUCACCUCCUGGAGACAGC